rnacentral:rRNA from 2 species
GAUUGAACGCUGGCGGUAUGCUUAACACAUGCAAGUCGAACGGAAACGAUGGGAGCUUGCUCCCAGGCGUCGAGUGGCGGACGGGUGCGUAACGCGUAGGAAUUUACCUUAUAGUCGGGGACAACCUGAGGAAACUCAGGCUAAUACCGGAUAAUCCUUACUAGGGAAAGGGGGCCUCUUCUUGAAAGCUCUCGCUAUUAGAUGAGCCUGCGUCAGAUUAGCUUGUUGGUAGGGUAAAAGCCUACCAAGGCGACGAUCUUUAGCUGGUCUGAGAGGAUGAUCAGCCACAUCGGGACUGAGACACGGCCCGAACUCCUACGGGAGGCAGCAGUGGGGAAUAUUGGACAAUGGGGGCAACCCUGAUCCAGCAAUACCGCGUGUGUGAAGAAGGCCUGAGGGUUGUAAAGCACUUUCAAUUGUGAAGAAAAGUUAGCGGUUAAUAACCGUUAGCCUUGACGUUAACUUUAGAAGAAGCACCGGCUAACUCCGUGCCAGCAGCCGCGGUAAUACGGAGGGUGCAAGCGUUAAUCGGAAUUACUGGGCGUAAAGCGUGCGUAGGCGGUUUAUUAAGUCAGAUGUGAAAGCCCCGGGCUUAACCUGGGAACUGCAUUUGAAACUGGUCAACUAGAGUAUGGUAGAGGAAAGUGGAAUUUCUGGUGUAGCGGUGAAAUGCGUAGAUAUCAGAAGGAACAUCAAUGGCGAAGGCAGCUUUCUGGACCAAUACUGACGCUGAGGUACGAAAGCGUGGGUAGCAAACAGGAUUAGAUACCCUGGUAGUCCACGCCGUAAACGAUGAUAACUAGCCGUUGGGGGGAUUUACCCUUUAGUGGCGAAGCUAACGCGUUAAGUUAUCCGCCUGGGGAGUACGGCCGCAAGGUUAAAACUCAAAGGAAUUGACGGGGACCCGCACAAGCGGUGGAGCAUGUGGUUUAAUUCGAUGCAACGCGAAGAACCUUACCUGGUCUUGACAUCCUGCGAACUUUCUAGAAAUAGAUUGGUGCCUUCGGGAACGCAGUGACAGGUGCUGCAUGGCUGUCGUCAGCUCGUGUCGUGGGAUGUUGGGUUAAGUCCCGUAACGAGCGCAACCCCUAUCCUUAUUUGCCAGCACAUCAUGGUGGGAACUAUAAGGAGACUGCCGGUGAUAAACCGGAGGAAGGCGGGGACGACGUCAAGUCAUCAUGGCCCUUACGACCAGGGCUACACACGUGCUACAAUGGGAAGGACAAAGAGCCGCGAAGCCGCGAGGUGUAGCUAAUCUCAUAAACCUUUUCGUAGUCCGGAUUGGAGUCUGCAACUCGACUCCAUGAAGUCGGAAUCGCUAGUAAUCGUAGAUCAGAAUGCUACGGUGAAUACGUUCCCGGGUCUUGUACACACCGCC